rnacentral:rRNA from 1 species
UACGUAGGGUCCGAGCGUUGUCCGGAAUUAUUGGGCGUAAAGGGCUCGUAGGCGGUCCGUCACGUCGGGAGUGAAAACUCAGGGCUCAACCCUGAGCGUGCUUCGGAUACGGGCGGACUAGAGGUAUGCAGGGGAGAACGGAAUUCCUGGUGUAGCGGUGGAAUGCGCAGAUAUCAGGAGGAACACCGGUGGCGAAGGCGGUUCUCUGGGCAUUACCUGACGCUGAGGAGCGAAAGCAUGGGGAGCGAACAGG